AAACGGGACGAUCCCGUUUUUUUGCCGAGUUGGCUAUUACCCGGUUGGUUGAUUGUUGGUUACUAUUGUAGAUAGUCAUUUGUUUAUUGCCUUAGAAAUUGGCGAUAAACGUAUCAGCUGACGUGAGCUGUAUCCAGGAAAGAUAUAAGCAGAAAUAUAUAUUUAAUUGAGAUGUGGUUUUAAAUGCUAAGUGGUGUUAAGUUGUGGUGUCAAGUUAAAUGCAAGUGAAAAAGGAAAAGUGCAAUUUUUAGAAACAAUUGUUAAUCUGAAUAAAUAUACAGGUUUGCUAUUCUUUCUAAUACCAUUUUAUUACGCUUUGAUCUUAGUUUUGUUUCAGAUUUAGUUAAUACGAUCGAGUAUUUACAAGUAUCUACAAGAGAUAUAUAAAAGAGAACUUUAACGAAGAAGAAAAAAUAAAUGACUUCAAACAAUAAUCAUUGGUAUUCAGCACCAAAUUGCAUAUUGACAAUUAAUUUAGAGAAACGGCAUUAUUUUCGUUUUUCAAAAGAGCAUGAUAGAUGGUUGACAUAGGUACAAGCAUGUGAAAGAAUAGAUCUUCUACUAAAAGGGCCAAAAUAUUUUUAAAACUGUCGCUUGUGUCAUCUUCAUCUUGAAAACAAAUUUUAUUUUAUAAAAAAAAGGACAUAACUUCAUCCAAAUGCCAUUCCAACAAUAUUUUAUAUGUGCAAUUUGGAUAAUAGAAAAUGUAGGAGUAAUUCUGUCUGCACCAGUGCAAGAAGAAGUACAUCAAGCGAUAUCCGGCAUCCUUCCAAAAGUCUGAAUCAUAGAUUACAGAUGGAGAACAAAAAAUUAAAAAUCAAAAUAAAAAGAUUGCAGCAAUCAAUUCGAAGAAUGCAAAAAAAGAAGAAAAAAAUAAGAGAAAAAUUGCAGCAGUUGAGGAAGAAGGCAACGAUCUGGAAAUACUUAAGAAAUUAGGUAAUAAAUUAUUGCAUGGUAAUUUUAAGAAAUUAUUACAGCGUAGAUUAAUGCACAGAUUAAGCGCAAGCGUGGUAUGAGGUACGAUCCACAAUUUAAGAAAUUUGCCUUAUCUUUAUAUUUUUUGAGUCCGCAAAAUUAUAGACAAUUGAAAACAUCAAUUGCAUUGCCUUCUGUGCGUUCUCUGCAACAAUUUACUCAAGCAUGAGAGUUAGUACCUGGUGUAAAUUCAAAAAUUUUUGAAAUAUUACGCAUCAAAUUAAUGACAGUACCAAGUGUGGAAAGACAUUGCACUUUAUGCAUAGACGAAAUGAGUUUAAAAAGUCAUUUAUGUUAUAAUGUUUCUCGGGAUGAAAUUACUGGUUUUCAAAACACUGUUUACGAAAAAUCUUCCGAAAAAUCCUUGCAAAAAGUGCUUUAGUUUUUAUGGCAUGAAGCAUUGCAGGUAAAUGGAAACUCCCUGUUUGUUAUUACUUCGUUGAAACUACAUGUCCCAGUAAUAUUAAAAAAAAAAUCUUAUUUUUGAAAUAAUAAUGAAAUUAAAGAAUAGUGGCGUUAAAAUACAUGCCUUAGUAACGGACAUGGGAUCUAAUUUCAUUUCGCAGCUUUCACGCGAUUUAGGAAUUUCAACCAAAAAUUCUAUCUUUUUUGUUAAGAAAGAAAAAUUAUUUUACAUUUUUUUUUGUUAAGAAAGAAAAAUUAUUUUACAUUUUUGACCUCAUUUAAUAAAAGCAACGCGCAAUAAUCUUAUAAAACAUAAUUUUCAAUUUAAUUAAAAAAUUGCUUCAUGGGCACAUUAUUCAAAUUUAUGAAAGAGAUAGCAAACAGUGGAUAAGAGCGGCUUAUAAUUUAUCGAAAUGUCAUAUUAAAUCAAAUGGUUUUCAAAAAAUAAAAGUCAAAUACGCAAGUUCAAGUAUUCAAUAAUCACGUAUCUGCAGGCAUGUAUGCACAAAUGUUUUCCGGUUUUCUUUCAACUAAAGCAAUUGGAACAAUUGAUUUAAUUUCUCAUUUCGAUAAAUUAUUUGAUAUUUUAAACUCUCUUCCAUGCUAAUCCAAAAGAAUACGGGAAAGUUUUCACUGGAAGUGAAAAAGAAAUAAAAUUUUUACAAAAUAUGCUGAAUUUUAUACGAUUGAAGUCAUUGACGAAAAUGAUUCAUGUGUAAA